rnacentral:misc_RNA from 1 species
GAUGAAGAACGUAGUGAGAUGCGAUAAGUAAUGUGAAUUGCAGAAUUCAGUGAAUCAUCGAAUCUUUGAACGCACAUUGCGCCCCUCGGUAUUCCGAGGGGCAUGCCUGUUCGAGCGUCAUUAUAACCCUUCAAGCUCAGCUUGGUGUUGGGGCCUGCUGUAACUGGUAGCCCUUAAAAUCAGUGGCAGUGCUAUUAGGCUCUAAGCGUAGUAAUUCUUCUCGCUAUAGUGUGUAGUGAGCGCUUGCCAGAACCCCAAACUUUUAUAUGAUUGACCUCGGAUCAGGUAGGGAUACCCGCUGAACUUAAGCAUAUCAAUAAGCGGAGGA